CCCUCGGGGCCCAACCUCCCCACCCGUGUAUACCGUACCUUGUUGCUUCGGCGAGCCCGCCCCCUUUUUCUUUUAGGGGGCACAGCGCUCGCCGGAGACACCAACGUGAACACUGUCUGAAGUUUUGUCGUCUGAGUCGAUUGUAUCGCAAUCAGUUAAAACUUUCAACAAUGGAUCUCUUGGUUCCGGCAUCGAUGAAGAACGCAGCGAAAUGCGAUAAUUAAUGUGAAUUGCAGAAUUCAGUGAAUCAUCGAGUCUUUGAACGCACAUUGCACCCCCUGGUAUUCCGGGGGGUAUGCCUGUCCGAGCGUCAUUGCUGCCCUCAAGCACGGCUUGUGUGUUGGGUCGUCGUCCCCCCCCAGGGGGACGGGCCCGAAAGGCAGCGGCGGCACCGCGUCCGGUCCUCGAGCGUAUGGGGCUUUGUCACCCGCUCUUGUAGGCCCGGCCGGCUGCUGGCCGACGCUGAAAAGCAACCAACUAUUUUUCCAGGUUGACCUCGGAUCAGGUAGGGAUACCCGCUGAACUUAAGCAUAUCAAUAAGC
rnacentral:misc_RNA from 1 species